rnacentral:rRNA from 1 species
AUUGAACGCUGGCGGCAGGCCUAACACAUGCAAGUCGAACGAGUGGCGGACGGGUGAGUAAUGUCUGGGAAACUGCCCGAUGGAGGGGGAUAACUACUGGAAACGGUAGCUAAUACCGCAUACCAUCGGAUGUGCCCAGAUGGGAUUAGCUAGUAGGUGGGGUACCGGCUCACCUAGGCGACGACACCUCGCUGGUCGGAGAGGAUGACCGGCCACACUGGAAGUGAGACACGGUCCAGACGCCUACGGGAGGCAGCAGUGGGGAAUAUGGCACAAUGGGCGCAAGCGUGAUGCAGCCAUGCCGGGUGUAUGAAGAAGGCUUUCGGGUUGUAAAGUACUUUCAGCGAGGAGGCGUUACUCGCAGAAGAAGCACCGGCUAACUCCGUGCCAGCAGCCGCGGUAAUC